GAUGAAGAACGCAGUGAAAUGCGAUACUUGGUGUGAAUUGCAGAAUCCCGUGAACCAUCGAGUCUUUGAACGCAAGUUGCGCCCGAAGCCUCGGCUAAGGGCACGUCUGCCUGGGCGUCACGCAUCGCGUCUCCCCCAAACCGCCAAGGCGGAGGGGAAGGAAGAUGGCUUCCCGUGCCUCACCCGGGCGCGGUUGGCCUAAAUUUGGAGCCCGCGGCACUUAGCUCUCGCGGCGAUAGGUGGUGAACAAGGCCUUGGCCGUGCAAACAACCCGCUGCGAAGCUCUAUGUCACGUGCGCUCGUCGGACCCUUUGAAGUUGCCUUCGGUGACUUAAAACCUUUGCGACCCCAGGUCAGGCGGGGCUACCCGCUGAAUUUAAGCAUACAAUAAGCGGAGGA
rnacentral:misc_RNA from 1 species